rnacentral:rRNA from 1 species
GUUGUAGUAUCGCAUGAUAUAGCAAUUAAAGGAGCAAUCGCUAUAAGAUGGACCCGCGUCGCAUUAGCUAGUUGGUGAGGUAAUGGCUCACCAAGGCGACGAUGCGUAGCCGACCUGAGAGGGUGAUCGCCACAUUGGGACUGAGACACGGCCCAGACUCCUACGGGAGGCAGCAUG